GUGGCUGUAGCUCAGUGGCAGAGCACUUGCCUAGUACCUGUGAGAAACUGGGUUUGAUCCUCAGCACCACA
rnacentral:tRNA from 1 species